UGGAAAGAGCAGAGGCUGAGGAGCACC
rnacentral:piRNA from 1 species